AUGCUGCUCUUCAAGCUCGACAUUAAGAAGGCCUUUGACUCCGUUAGGUGGGACUACCUCAUGGACACUCUCAAUCAUCAUGGCUUCCCCACCCGCUUCCGAGGAUGGAUAUCGGCCUUGCUCUCCUCUGCUUCUUCCCGGGUUGUUCUCAAUGGGAUCGCCGGGGACCCGAUUAAGCAUGGUUGUGACCUUCGCCAAGGCGACCCGCUAUCCCCCUUGCUCUUCCUUCUUGCCAUCGACCCGCUGCACCGCAUUUUGAGCAAGGCUACUACGUAG
rnacentral:rRNA from 1 species